rnacentral:lncRNA from 1 species
GAAACCGUUAAUGGCGGUUAUGCCCCUUAAGAAUAUGUCAAAUCCUUUCGGUCAAAGUGUAAAAAAGUUGUGCCUCAGUCACCUUAACAUUUUUCACUGUUUACUAUUUCUGUAAGAUUAACCGCUUUUGAGAUAUCGACUAAAAAGUUGAAAGGUCAAAGGUCAAGGUCAACCUUAAAAACAUUUAAAACACACUAAAAAUACUUAAAAUAAGGUCAAAAACACAUAAUUCGCUAUAUGGGACAUGACCUUGACCUUUGACCUUGUAACCUUUGUCAAGGUCAUUAGUCCACAAUGUCAUUGCUGAAGACCCCAUGGGUCUAGGACAUUUGGUUA